CCCUUAGAUGUUCUGGGCUGCACACGUGCUACACUGGCAGGUUCAGCGAGCUUCAUGCCCUGAUCUGAAAGGAAUGGGAAAUCUUUUCAAAACCUGCCGUGCUUGGGAUAGAUGUUUGCAAUUAUUCAUCUUCAACGAGGAUUGCCUUGUAAGCGCACGUCAUCAGCGUGCAUUGAAUACGACCCUGUAUUCUGUACACACCGCCCGUCGCUCCUACCGAUUGAAGUUUUCGGUGAGUUGACAGGAGGAUUUUUUUGAAACUGGUUCGCCAGUGUAUUUUAGAUCCAAAUGCCAACGAAUCGAUGGCUUUAGAGGAAGGAGAAGUCGUAACA
rnacentral:rRNA from 1 species